rnacentral:rRNA from 1 species
GGGUCAGUAGGUUCGUCGUGCCACCGGUACGUACUGGUCUCACUGAUUCCUCCUUCCUGAAGAACCGUAAUGCCAUUAAUUUGGUGAUGCGGGGAAUCAGGACUGUUACAUUGAAAAAAUUAGAGUGUUUAAAGCAAGCUAACGCUUGAAUACAUUAGCAUGGAAUAAUGAAAUAGGACGAUCGAUCCUAUUUUGUUGGUUUCUAGGAUUGACGUA